AGGAAGAAGGGAGGAGGAGGGGCAAAGGAGGAAGAUGGAGAUGACAGAGGAAGACGAUUCCGAUCCAGGUGGUUUAGGUCAAUUUUAUCUUGUCUAGACAGGGUUUCUCUGUGCAGUCCUGGCCAUCCUGGAAGUCACUCAGUAGACCUGGUCAGCUUCAAACUCAUAAAGAUACACCAUGGCCCAGUGGAGAUACCCUUUUUAGAAUGAACCGGGAGACAGAGCCCUUGACUAUGAGGAGUUUUCCAGAGAGGUUUAACUGAGGAGAGUGGACCCACCCUGAAUAUGGGCAGCAACAUCCCUUGGGCUGGCAUCCUGGAGCAGACAGAGGGAAAGAGGAAAAGGAAAGCUGAACAUUAACAUUUGUCUCUCUGCUUCGUGGGCACAGACGCAAUGUGACCAGCAGCCACAUGCUCCUGCUGCCUUGCCCUGCCCACUGUGAUGGACUGAGGAUCUGACACCCUAGAGCCAAGACAAGCCCUUCCUUCCAUUGACUUUUUCAGUAUUUUGUGACAGCAAUGGGAAAGAUCAACACAGCUAAGGAGUAAUGGAUUUUAUUGAGAAAAUGUGCGGUAUCUGGCC